rnacentral:tRNA from 1 species
UCGGGGAUCGUCUAAGGGUAGGACAGAGGCCUUUGGAGCCUUUAAUCGGGGUUCGAAUCCCUGUCCCCGAG